UACGUAGGUGGCAAGCGUUGUCCGGAAUUAUUGGGCGUAAAGAGCUCGUAGGCGGUUUGUCGCGUCUGCCGUGAAAGUCCGGGGCUUAACCCCGGAUCUGCGGUGGGUACGGGCAGACUAGAGUGCAGUAGGGGAGACUGGAAUUCCUGGUGUAGCGGUGAAAUGCGCAGAUAUCAGGAGGAACACCGAUGGCGAAGGCAGGUCUCUGGGCUGUAACUGACGCUGAGGAGCGAAAGCAUGGGGAGCGAACAGG
rnacentral:ncRNA from 2 species